rnacentral:rRNA from 1 species
GAUGAACGCUGGCGGCGUGCCUAAUACAUGCAAGUCGAACGAACAGAUGCGGAGCUUUCUUCUCUGACGUUAGCCGCGGACGUGAUAGUAACACGUGUAUCCCCUACCUAUAAAUCUGGCAUCACUUCGUGUACCCGUAGCUCAUACCAUAUAAUAUUUUAAACCGCAUGGUUAGCUAGAGAGUUUCGGUUUUGCUGUCUCUAAUAGAUGAUUCCGCGCCGCCUUAGCUAGUUGGUAAGGUAAUGGCUUACCAAGGCAACGAUGCGUAGCCGACCUGAGAGGGUGAUCGGCCACACUGGAACUGAGACACGGUCCAGACUCCUACGGGAGGCAGCAGUAGGGAAUCUUCCGCAAUGGGCGAAAGCCUGACGGAGCAACGCCGCGUGAGUGAUGAAGGUCUUCGGAUCGUAAAACUCUGUUAUUAGGGAAGAACAAAUGUGUAAGUAACUAUGCACGUCUUGACGGUACCUAAUCAGAAAGCCACGGCUAACUACGUG